rnacentral:rRNA from 1 species
AUUGAACGCUGGCGGCAGGCUUAACACAUGCAAGUCGAGCGAGCGGCGGACGGGUGAGUAAUGUCUGGGAAACUGCCUGAUGGAGGGGGAUAACUACUGGAAACGGUAGCUACUACCGCAUACCAUCAGAUGUGCCCAGAGGGGAUUAGCUAGUAGGGGGGGUAAAGGCUCACCUAGGCGACGAUCCCUAGCUGGUCUGAGAGGAUGACCAGCCACACUGGAACUGAGACACGGUCCAGACUCCGACGGGAGGCAGCAGUGGGGAAUAUUGCACAAUGGGAGAAAGCCUGAUGCAGCAAUGCCGAGUUGGUGAAGAAGGCCUUCGGGUUGUAAAGCACUUUCAGCGAGGAGGCGUUACUCGCAGAAGAAGCACCGGCUAACUCCGUGCCAGCCGCCGCGGUAAUUC